rnacentral:sRNA from 1 species
CUAACUAAAUUUAAAUUUCAGAAUAUCUACAUAUACAUUUUUGCAACCAUUUUAGCAAAUAAAUCCUCUACUUGACACUUAUUUACAAUGGCAUGCCAUUGGCAUUAUU